UACAGAGGUCUCGAGCGUUAGGCGGAAUCACUGGGCUUAAAGCGUGUGUAGGCGGGUCGUUAAGUGCCUUGUGAAAUCCCACGGCUCAACCGUGGAACUGCUUGGCAUACUGGCGGUCUUGAGCAACCUAGGGGCGAGCGGAACAAAUGGUGGAGCGGUGAAAUGCGUAGAUAUCAUUUGGAACGCCAAUGGUGAAAACAGCUCGCUGGGGGUUUGCUGACGCUGAGACACGAAAGCCAGGGGAGCAAACGGG
rnacentral:rRNA from 1 species